GACGAACGCUGGCGGCGUGCUUAACACAUGCAAGUCGAACGGAAAGGCCCUGCUUUUGUGGGGUGCUCGAGGGGCGAACGGGUGAGUAACACGUGAGUAACCUGCCCUUGACUUUGGGAUAACUUCAGGAAACUGGGGCUAAUACCGGAUAGGAGCUCCUGCUGCAUGGUGGGGGUUGGAAAGUUUCGGCGGUUGGGGAUGGACUCGCGGCUUAUCAGCUUGUUGGUGGGGUAGUGGCUUACCAAGGCUUUGACGGGUAGCCGGCCUGAGAGGGUGACCGGCCACAUUGGGACUGAGAUACGGCCCAGACUCCUACGGGAGGCAGCAGUGGGGAAUAUUGCACUAUGGGCGGAAGCCUGAUGCAGCAACGCCGCGUGCGGGAUGACGGCCUUCGGGUUGUAAACCGCUUUCGCCUGUGACGAAGCGUGAGUGACGGUAAUGGGUAAAGAAGCACCGGCUAACUACGUG
rnacentral:rRNA from 1 species